rnacentral:rRNA from 1 species
AUCCCGGCAGUAGUAACAGCAAAGAGGGGUGAGAAUCCCCUCCGCCGAAGGGGCCAGGGUUCCCCGGCAACGAUCGUCAGCCGGGGGUAAGUCGGUCCUAAGAUAUGGCCUAACCGACCAUGUCGAAAGGGAAUCCGGUUAAGAUUCCGGAACCACGAAGAUACACGCGGCGACGCAAGCUCGACGUCUGACGCUUCGAGAUACGCUGAGCAAGGCUGUCGCCUUGUUUAACUGUAUAAGUCUGGGGAGUGCCGUAAUGGCGAGAACCAGUUGAAAUUAGGAAUAGCUGCCCGUUUUAGGGCGGUUCAGCCGAUUUUUGGAGCCAGUGAAAAGGGCGUCGAGAAGGAUUCUUCGUGUCCGUACCUAGAACCGACACAGGUGUCCCUAGGCGAGGAACCUAAGGCGUAUCGGGUAUACACUAUUGCGAGGGAACUCGGCAAUCUAGCCCCGUACCUUUGGUAUAAGGGGUGCCUGCCGUUUUUGCCUUUGGCUGGAAUGGCAGGUCGCAGUGACAUGGGGGUCCCGACUGUUUAAUAAAAACACAGGAAACCGCAAGCGCGAAAGCGUGUGAACGGUUUCUGAAUCCUGGCCAGUACAGGUACCUGAAAUCCGGGUCCAACCGGCUUAAGGGCCUGCAAACGCCGGGAGUAACUCUGACUCUCUCAAGGUAGCCAAAUGCCUUGUCGGGUAAGUUCCGACGUGCAUGAAUGGAUCAACGAGGGCCCCGCUGUCCCCGCGUAGUACCCGGUGAAACCACAUAACGUGGACGAACAGUCCACGAACUCCCAGCGGGAAAAGAAGUCCCUGUGGAGUUUUACUGCAGCCUGCCGCUGGAAUACGUUUGCGGAUGCAGAGCGUAGACGGAAGCUGCUUGAUCUUGGUUUCUCCGGGAGCCAGGGGAGGCGACAAUGGAACACCGUCCUUCUGUGACCGUGUUUCUAACCGGCGCUUCGGCGCUGAAACAACGGUAGGUGGGCAGUUCGGCUGGGGCGGCACGCCCUUGAAAAGAUAUCAAGGGCGCCCUAAGGUCGGCUCAGACGGGACAGAAACCCGUCGUAGAGUGCAAAGGCAAAAGCCGGCCUGACUGGAUCCUCCAAAGUAAGGGAUCCAGAGGCGAAAGCCGGGCUUAGCGAUCAUCCAUGUCCCCCUUGGUGGGGGCUGGAUGUGUCAGAAAAAUUACCCUAGGGAUAACAGGCUCGUCGCGGGCGAGAGUCCCUAUCGACCCCGCGGCUUGGUACCUCGAUGUCGGCUCUUCCUAUCCUGGCCCUGCAUAAGGGGCCAAGGGUGAGGCUGCUCGCCUAUUAAAAGGGAACGUGAGCUGGGUUUAGACCGUCGUGAGACAGGUCGGACUUUAUCUGCUGGGAGUGCUGGCUGCCUGAGGGGAAAGGGUCCCCAGUACGAGAGGAACGGGACGCUGUGGCCUCUAGUUAACCGGUUGUCCGACAGGGCAAAUGCCGGGCAGCCACGCCAUUGGGAAUAAGGGCUGAAAGCAUCUAAGCCCGAAGUCUCUCCUGAAAAUAGGCAGCCGUUCCCAUAAAUGGUUGAGCUGGUAACGGCUCGAAUCUAUGGGACGAAGGCUCCCAUAAAAGAUGGGUUUGAUGGAACCGGGGUGUAGGCUGGAAGGUUUCGACCGACCAGCUCAGCCCGCGGUCUCCAACCGCCUAAGGUGUCGG